rnacentral:rRNA from 1 species
AAAGGCCCUGCUUUUGUGGGGUGCUCGAGUGGCGAACGGGUGAGUAACACGUGAGUAACCUGCCCUUGACUUUGGGAUAACUUCAGGAAACUGGGGCUAAUACCGGAUAGGAGCUCCUGCUGCAUGGUGGGGGUUGGAAAGUUUCGGCGGUUGGGGAUGGACUCGCGGCUUAUCAGCUUGUUGGUGGGGUAGUGGCUUACCAAGGCUUUGACGGGUAGCCGGCCUGAGAGGGUGACCGGCCACAUUGGGACUGAGAUACGGCCCAGACUCCUACGGGAGGCAGCAGUGGGGAAUAUUGCACAAUGGGCGGAAGCCUGAUGCAGCAACGCCGCGUGCGGGAUGACGGCCUUCGGGUUGUAAACCGCUUUCGCCUGUGACGAAGCGUGAGUGACGGUAAUGGGUAAAGAAGCACCGGCUAACUACGUGCCAGCAGCCGCGGUGAUACGUAGGGUGCGAGCGUUGUCCGGAUUUAUUGGGCGUAAAGGGCUCGUAGGUGGUUGAUCGCGUCGGAAGUGUAAUCUUGGGGCUUAACCCUGAGCGUGCUUUCGAUACGGGUUGACUUGAGGAAGGUAGGGGAGAAUGGAAUUCCUGGUGGAGCGGUGGAAUGCGCAGAUAUCAGGAGGAACACCAGUGGCGAAGGCGGUUCUCUGGGCCUUUCCUGACGCUGAGGAGCGAAAGCGUGGGGAGCGAACAGGCUUAGAUACCCUGGUAGUCCACGCUGUAAACGGUGGGUACUAGGUGUGGGGUCCAUUCCACGGGUUCCGUGCCGUAGCUAACGCUUUAAGUACCCCGCCUGGGGAGUACGGCCGCA